GAGAGAAUCAGGAAGACGGAAAAGCGGAAACCACUGAUAAAACCAUCAGAUCUCGCGAGAUUUAUUUACUACCACGAGAACAGUAUAGGGGAACCCGCUCCCAUGAUUCAGUUAUCUCCCACCAGGUUUCUCCCUCAACAUGUGAGAAUUAAGGAAGUACAAUUCAAGAUGCGAUCUACGUGGGGACACACAGCCAAACCAUAUCAGGUCCAAAUGAAUCAAGUUCCCUUGGGUUUAAGUAGGCUCAAGAUAAAGGCUGAUAUUAAGAUCUUCUAGAAAAUUGUGGGCCAGUGUCAUGUGACAAGCAUCAUCUUUUUCCUCCAACAGGGAGAACUCCAAGAUGAAAUGCAGAUUGCUCAAAAAGUAGGCAAGAUGAUCUCCUGGGGCACAGAAAGAACUUUUAGAACUUCUAUUUACAUUCACAUUUCAUCUCAUGCUUUUUAAAUUUAUAUUUUUGAGCAUGUUUUAUAAUGUACAUAAUUUAUUAGUUUGAUAAAAACAUCUAAUGUUUUAUAAAUAAAAAUAAACAUUUCAGU
rnacentral:lncRNA from 1 species